rnacentral:rRNA from 1 species
GAUGAACGCUGGCGGCGUGCCUAAUACAUGCAAGUCGAGCGAACAGACGAGGAGCUUGCUCCUCUGACGUUAGCGGCGGACGGGUGAGUAACACGUGGAUAACCUACCUAUAAGACUGGGAUAACUUCGGGAAACCGGAGCUAAUACCGGAUAAUAUAUUGAACCGCAUGGUUCAAUAGUGAAAGACGGUUUUGCUGUCACUUAUAGAUGGAUCCGCGUCGCAUUAGCUAGUUGGUAAGGUAACGGCUUACCAAGGCAACGAUGCGUAGCCGAUCUGAGAGGGUGAUCAGCCACACUGGAACUGAGACACGGUCCAGACUCCUACGGGAGGCAGCAGUAGGGAAUCUUGCGCAAUGGGCGAAAGCCUGACGGAGCAACGCCGCGUGAGUGAUGAAGGUCUUCGGAUCGUAAAACUCUGUUAGUAGGGAAGAACAAAAGUGUGAGUAACUAUGCACGUCUUGACGGUACCUAAACAGAAAGCCACGGCUAACUACGUG